GACGAACGCUGGCGGCGUGCUUAACACAUGCAAGUCGAACGGUGAAGCGCCUUCCUUUUUGGUGGGUGUGGAUGAGUGGCGAACGGGUGAGUAACACGUGAGUAACCUGCCCCCUUCUUCUGGAUAACCGCAUGAAAGUGUGGCUAAUACGGGAUAUUCUGGGUCUGUCGCAUGAUGGGUCUGGGAAAGAUAUUGUUUCGGUGGGGGAUGGGCUCGCGGCCUAUCAGCUUGUUGGUGGGGUGAUGGCCUACCAAGGCGGUGACGGGUAGCCGGCCUGAGAGGGUGGACGGUCACACUGGGACUGAGACACGGCCCAGACUCCUACGGGAGGCAGCAGUGGGGAAUAUUGCACAAUGGGCGCAAGCCUGAUGCAGCGACGCCGCGUGAGGGAUGGAGGCCUUCGGGUUGUGAACCUCUUUCGCCAGUGAGGCAGGCCUGCCUCGUUUGUGGGUGGGUUGACGGUAGCUGGAGAAGAAGCGCCGGCUAACUACGUG
rnacentral:rRNA from 1 species